CUGUUGCUGUAACAUAUAUACUAAAACUGGAAUGAUACAGAGAAGUUUAGCAUGGUCCCUGCACAAGGAUGAUAAGCAAAUUCGUGAAGCAUCUAAAUCACUA